ACUAAGGUGGCAGAAAUAUGCGUCAAAUUUAAGCUUUGGAGAUAGAAUAGAUUUCUUCUUGGUAC
rnacentral:tRNA from 1 species